rnacentral:tRNA from 1 species
GGCCCAUUGGUCAAGUGGUUAAGACACCGCCCUUUCACGGCGGUAACAGGGGUUCGAAUCCCCUAUGGGUCACCA